GUGUUCGCUUCUGCGGCACAUAUCUAAAAUUAGAACGAUACAGAGAAGAUUAGCAUGGCCCUCUGCAAGGAUGACAUGCAAAUUCGUGAUGUGUUCCAUAUUAAA
ensembl:snRNA U6 U6 spliceosomal RNA